GACUAACGCUGGCGGCGUGCUUAACACAUGCAAGUCGAACGAAGUGGCGAACGGGUGAGUAACACGUAAUAAACCUGCCCUUCAGAGGGGGACAACAGUUGGAAACGACUGCUAAUACCGCAUACUGAAGGAGGGGAUUGCGUCUGCUUAGCUAGUGGGCGGGGUAACGGCCCACCAAGGCGAUGAUCAGUAGCCUGUCUGAGAGGAUGAGCAGCCACAUUGGGAUUGAAACAAGGCCAAGACUCAUACGGGCAGCAGAAGUGGGGAAUCUUCCGAAAUGGAAGAAAGUCUGACGGAGCAACGCCGCGUGAGUGAUGACGGCCUUCGGGUUGUAAAGCUCUGUUAAUCGGGACGCGGUACCGGAAUAGAAAGCCACGGCUAACUACGUGCCAGCAGCCGCGGUAAUAC
rnacentral:rRNA from 1 species